UACGUAGGGUGCGAGCGUUAAUCGGAAUUACUGGGCGUAAAGGGCGCGUAGGCGGCCUGCUAAGUCGAACGUGAAAUCCCGGGGCUCAACCCCGGAACUGCAUUGGAUACUGCCUUGCUUGAGUACUGGAGAGGGAACUGGAAUUUACGGUGUAGCAGUGAAAUGCGUAGAGAUCGUAAGGAAGGCCAGUGGCGAAGGCGAGUUCCUGGACAGUUACUGACGCUGAGGCACGAAGGCCAGGGGAGCAAACGGG
rnacentral:rRNA from 1 species